rnacentral:rRNA from 1 species
UUCAAAUUGAGAGUUUGAUCCUGGCUCAGGACGAACGCUGGCGGCGUGCCUAAUACAUGCAAGUCGAGCGAGCUGAAUUCAAAGAUCCCUUCGGGGUGAUUUGUUGGACGCUAGCGGCGGAUGGGUGAGUAACACGUGGGCAAUCUGCCCUAAAGACUGGGAUACCACUUGGAAACAGGUGCUAAUACCGGAUAACAACAUGAAUCGCAUGAUUCAAGUUUGA